UUCUUGUAUUCUCUUGAUUGAGUAAUAAUAAUUUUCUUCUUAUUUCCAUUUCUAUUGUCUGUGUUUUGUGUCGACUGAUAUCAGAGCAAGAUUACUACUAAGUGUUUGAUAUUACUACUCAACAAACAUGAAUAGUGGAAGUGCUUCUUCGGGAACUGCCGUAGAAAAGUUUGUUGGUAAUAAUUACAAUUACUAAAAGUUAUGUAUGGAAGCUUUUCUAUAGGGGCAGGAUUUGUGGGAUCUUAUUGAAGUUGAUGAAACAUCGAUCCCAACAGAUACUUUGCAGAAUGUCGAAUUACAGCAAAAAUGAGAGAUCAAGUGUGGGAAAGCUCUUUUUGCUUUGCGGACAUCAAUCAACAAGAAAUGCAUUAACCAUGUUCGUGAUUUAAAGUCACCAAAGCAAGUGUGAGAGACUCUUCAAAAGUUGUUUACUAAGAAAAAUACAGCUCGAUUAUAAUUUCUUGAGAAUGAACUAGCUGCAAUAACUCAAGGUAAUUUGUCCAUUGAAGAAUACUUCUUAAAAGCGAAGAACUUGUGUUCUGAAAUUUCAGAAUUGGAUACAGAGGAGCCAGUGAGUGAUGCACGUUUGUGUCGCUAUCUUAUUCGUGGACUGCAAAAAGACCUUAGGCCCUUUGUUUCUUCAAUUCAAUGGUGGGUGAAUCAACCUUUAAUUAUUGAAUUAGAAAAUCUUUCUAAGCAAUAAGCUUUGAUAAAGCAAAUGACAAGCAAUAACAAGCUUUCUCAAAAAUCAAAAGAUGUGUUGUUUGUCAAAUAUCAAAUGAGAAAGAAGCUCGAAGUCUUCAUCGAGUGAUAGAAAUCAGUCCAAAAGUGAGGAGCAGCCCAAGAGAUCUUCCAAAGCUUGUUACAGGUGUAGAAAACUUAGACAUCUCAAAUGGGAUUGUCGGGUGAAAGUAGUGUGUGAUCGAUACGGGAAGUCAAGCCAUAUUAAGGUAAAUUGUCGAGUUAAAAUGCAAGAAUUGAAGCAAAUUUUGUACAUGACAGCAAUGAGUUCCAACAACCAACUUGGGAGUAAUGUUUAUCCAUUGAGGUUCUUGACCAGCCAACGAAUGUGACUUCCGUUAUGCACCAAGAUGAUGUGUCUGCAAAUGUUCUUAACUCCAACAAGGAAUGGAUUGUUGAUUCUGGUUGUUCUCAUCAUGCUACUGGGAAUGAUACUCUUUUAUCAGCUGUUCGUCCGCAUCGUAAGAAUAAGGUCAUUGUAACAGCUAAUAAUUCAUUUCAUCCUGUGAAGAAAGAAGGAAAUUUGAAUGACAGAGAUGUUCUUCUCAAGGAUGUCUAUCAUGUUCGUGGCUUAAAGAAAAAUAUUGCUUCUGUCUCACAAAUAACAUAUUCAAAAAGGUAUAUUCUUUUUAGUCCUAAUGACAUUCAAAUUCUUUCAAAUGUGAAACAUAUUAUUGUUGAUGUUUUGUUUUGUGGAAAAAGAAAAGAAUCAUUGUAUCUUUUGUCUGCAAUUGACGAGUAUUUAAAAAAGGCUAGUCGCAAUGCAAGCUCAACACUUUCGCAUGCUCGCUUGGGUCAUGUGGGUUUUCAGUUGCUACAGAAGAUAUCCACAAACCAACUUCUUAAUGGUAUCCCUGUUUUUAAAGGGUAUUCACCAUGAUGAGAUUUGUCCAAGUUGCCAAUAUGAAAAAUCACAUUGUUUUCCUUUCUCAAGUUCAAAAAGUAAAGCAUCAUCGCCAUUGCAACUGGUUCAUUCAGAUAUCUUGGGACCAACGAGAACGCCAAGCUACAUUGGUCUUCAUUAUGUAAUGGUGAUUGUGAUUGUGGAUGAUUUCUCUCGGUUCAACUGGUUAUACUUUUUAGAACACAAAAGUGAGGCUUUCUCUAAAUUUCUUCAGUUCAAACAUUAUGUAAAAAAAGGAUUUUGGUUGUCAAUCAAGUGCUUGCGCACGAAUAAUGGAGGGGAAUUUCUAUCAAAUGAUUUUAUGGAUUAUUAUAGAGACAUAGAAUUCAGCAUCAAAUGAAUUGUUCAGAAACCCCACAACAAAAUGGGGUUGCUGAGCGUGAAUUAGCUCAUCUUAGAUCAAUUUGUUUGUCUUGGCUACACGCAAAGAUUCUUCCAAGAAAACUAUGGGCAACAGCUUUUCAAACUGCUUGUCAUGUCGUAAAUUGACUGCCUCAAUGGCCAAGGACAGAACCAUCACCUUUUGAGCUGCUAUAUCGUCGUAAACCCAAUGAAGGGUUGGAGAUGUAUGGAUUUGGAAACAAAAAAGAUUAUCGUUUCUUGUAAUGCGAUGUUCGAUGAAGUUUCAUGUCACAAAGAUGAUGCAAAUGGCAGCAAAGGUACGAGAAGUCUUGCACUUUUUCCUGAUGAUAUUUUAGAAAGAAAUAUUUCUUAAAUUGAGGGAUGCAUUCAAUCUGAGGAAAAUACAGAGGCCACAAGUAUUGAGACUGUCACAAGCAGAAAUCCUCCAAGACAGAAAGAUUGCCGAGCCAUUUGUCUGAUUAUGUAAUUGAGAUAAAUCAUUAUUCUAUUUUAUCUUGCUUUUUUCAUAGAGGAGUCAUGUGGAAAUGAGCCCAAACUGUACAAUGAAGCUAAAAGAGUUUCGGAACGGGAAAAUGCAAUGGUAGAAGAGAUUUCAGCACUCAACAAGAAUGGCACGUGAGAGCUUGUACCAAAGUCAUUUGACGCUGAUUUAAUUACUUGUAAGUGGGUUUAUAAGUUGAAGAAAAAGGCUGAUGAUACAAUUGAUAGAUACCAAGCUCGUCUUGUUACCCGUGGGUUCUUUCAGCAAUACAAUCGAGAUUAUGAUGAGACUGUUAGUCCUAUUGCAAGGAUGAAAAUGGUUCGAGCAAUCAUUUCUUUAAUUGCUGGUAAAGGUUAUAAAUUAUGACAACUAGAUGUGAAAAAUGCUUUCUUUCAUGGAGAGUUGGAUCGCAAUAUUUUUAUGGAACAAUAACAAGGAUUUGUAUCUAAGGAGUAUCAUGAUCAUGUAUGCAGACUCAAGAAAGCGUUAUAUGGUCUCAAGCAAGCUCCUCGUGCUUAGUUCGGGACUAAAUUUGAGGCAAAAGAAAAAUUAAGGGCCAAAAGCGUGAAUUUAGAGAUAAAAUGGGCCAAUGUGCGACACAAGGAAAAGUUGGUGCCAAAAGUGUAAGUAUGGAGGACACAAGGGUUGAAAUGCAAAAAGAAGAGAUUUUAUAUUUUAAUUAUAUUAGGAUAAUUAAUAUUGAGAUAAUUAUUAAGGAUUAUUUUUAGGAUUUUAUUUUAUCUUUAUUUAUCUUCAAUUAAAUGUAUUUAUUUUUUAGGAAUUUAAGUAGGAUUAGAAUAUCUCCCCUAGCACUAUAAAUAGGGGAUGAAGUGACUCAAAAGGGGAUCUCAUAUAUUUUUCUGAAAACACUCUCUCUCCAAAAGUUUAGGCUUUUGUUCUUCUCAUAUUUCUUUUUAAUAAAAUCUUUAUUUUUAUUUACUAAACCCAUCUAGUCGAAGGUUGUCAAAAAUCCCCAAAAGAGUUUAUGAGGCUUAGAAUUCGUACUUAGCCUCCUCGCUGAGUAUUCAUCGUUUCUCUGCACUACGGGGCUGACGCUUCCGUCCAUGUCCCUUAAGAAGUAAGCUUUUCAACGUAUGUAAAGGCGGCCGCUUUGUAUGUUUUGGGAAGAUUGCACAGUUGGUUCGUUAGCUUACUGCGUCAGAGGUUGGCGAGCCCAAGAGACAAAAUGGCGUGGGAUUCGCCAUUGAGAAGCGUUGAUCUAGCAUAAGACGAUCCCACAGAAGCGAUUGUUGGCUAAAGUCAGGUUCCACUAAAUCGUAAGUCUAAAUCCUUGGAGCUGGUGGUCGUAGGCGUCCUCUUCCACUAUAACUGGCUUAUUCGGUUUGGGAAGGAUCAUCUAAAAGCCGAGGAUUGAACCCAAGGCGGAACGAAACAACUGGAGGCUGGAAUCUCCCAUAAGAAUUUCCUUUCUCUCAAUUCUAUUUUUAAUUUCUCUAAUUUUCGAUUCAAUAUUCUUAAAUUUGUUUUUAUUUUAUUUUUUGUUUUCAAAUCCAAACAUUUAAUUCUGUUAUUUUUUUAUUUUAUUUUUUUUAGGCACGCAAGUUUUCUUGGGCAAGAUUCUGCCUAGGAUUUCACGGAACAAGAUAUUUUGCAAGUCCAGUCCCUGAGGAUUUGACCCUACUUCCCUUUUACUAUUCUUUUAUUUAUUAGGGAUAGGAUAUUUUUGGUGCUUUCAACGACCGCAUCAUGUGUGUACAUUGCUCUUGCUUUAUACGGACGAUAUGAU